CGGCAGGCUUAACACAUGCAAGUCGAGGGGUAACAGGGAGCUUGCUCUGCUGACGACCGGCGCACGGGUGCGUAACGCGUAUGCAACCUACCUUCUACAGGGGGAUAGUCAAUAGAAAUGUUGAAUAAUACCCCAUACGAUCUUUGAGUGGCAUUACUUAAAGAGGAAAGCUUCGGCGGUAGAAGAUGGGCAUGCGUCCUAUUAGUUAGUUGGUGAGGUAACGGCUCACCAAGACCGCGAUAGGUAGGGGCCCUGAGAGGGGGAUCCCCCACACUGGUACUGAGACACGGACCAGACUCCUACGGGAGGCAGCAGUGAGGAAUAUUGGACAAUGGAGGCAACUCUGAUCCAGCCAUGCCGCGUGCAGGAAGACUGCCCUAUGGGUUGUAAACUGCUUUUAUACAGGAAGAAACCUACUUACGUGUAAGUAGCUGACGGUACUGUAAGAAUAAGGAUCGGC
rnacentral:rRNA from 1 species